AACCGCCGUAUACCGAACGGUACGUACGGUGGUGUGAGAGGUCGGUAGGUAAAAUAAUUAUCUACCUCCUACUCGAU
rnacentral:ncRNA from 2 species